ensembl:lncRNA
CCGGCAGCGCGGAGGCCGGGCGAGCGCGGAGCCAACCGCGGAGAGGCGGCUGCUGCCGGCGGGCCGAGCGCGCGUCGGAGGGAAGCGGGGUCGGGCACAGAGCCCUUACGGACCCCGAGGCUGCCCUCAGGAAAGCUCUCUGUACCCAUCCGCGCUGGGCGCGCACCUGGACCAGUGAAGGAACGUUACAAGGCCGGGCAAUCCCCAAGCCUGCUUCCCCGGCUCACCUGAUGCGCCCCCGAAAUGCUUCACACACGGCCUGAAGUCAACGUCUGUUCCUGGGAUGACAGAUCCAAGGCCGUGUCCGCGCCCCUCCACUGCUCUUGUCCGGGCUGGAGUUCUCAGAACCACACUGCCUCUCAGGCUGAUCAGAGGUAACUUGGGCAGACGCACCCCCUCGACGAGGGAGGCCGAGGUGUAAACAGGGAAGAUCUAGUGAUCCCAGGGCAAAGGGGGCAGAUGUGGGAAUAACGCAGAAGUAGCGUGAACCACAAAUGUUCUUUGCUGUUACAGAAAAUCAGGCGGUCCCAAACACCCACAGCUGCGGCUCGCCUGUGCGAGGCAAUGGUGGAAGGUGUCCAGUAAAUAAACACCAAGGACCUCCAAGAUACUCGGAGCGAGGCAUCGAUGCCUGAAGGGACACUCAUGUGCUGACCCGUGCAUAGACGUGUCUGAAAAUGUCAUCUCAUCCUGCCCACAUCUGUGCUCAGUCCCCACAAGUCUGCACUGUACCUCCAGCUCCAACCAUCACCACGUGGAUCACAAACCCUCUGCUUGGCCUAACAGGAACUUGGCAGAGGCUUCAUUCUAGGAGCCCUGGCUUAGUGCAGGGCGCCAGGACAUGGCCACUUGGGAGCGGGUCUGCUCGGCCUGUGGGUGCCAUCCACACACUAAGCCAGGUCCCAACUCGAGUUCCAAAUCCACAUCCUUCCCCAGGAGCUGUAGGCCCAAGUGUUUCAGUCCUCAGGCAGGUUGUGGUUCUGCCCCGGGAGCUCAGCCCCAGAACCGUGGGGGAUACCGGUCUCUCACUUUCACACAAAGGCCACAAUGCCUCUGGCUGGCGUGAUGCCCAGAUUCUGCCCCUCAGACACAUGUGUGGCAGCCCUGCCCCCAGCACCUCCCAUCGGGCCUGCCUGUGACAACAAGGUCUUUGAACAGAGAAUUGAGUUAAAUGAGGCCAUUCAGGUGGGCCCUGAUCCAAUAGACCCGGUGUCCUUGUGGGAAGAGGAGGUCAGGACAUAGAGACCCACACACACAGGGUGGCCAAGCGAGGACACGGGCAGGAGACGGCCAUCCACAGGCCACGGGGAGAGGCCUCAGGGGGACCGGUGCUGCCCACACCUGGGUCUUGGGUUCCAGCCUCCAGGACGGGAGACGGUAAAUGUGUGUUGUUCACACUACAUCCAUAACACUCUGUUACGGCCGCCUGAUGGGCAAAUGCAACUGCAGCCUCAGACUUAACCCCAGAUGGCAGGAGUGAGCGGCAAGCAGGGGCCACUCGGCUGACCUGCCUGUGGGGUCGCUGAAUUGCAAAGAGGGUGAUGGUCUCCAGCACCUUCCCUCUGAAUGCCAGCCGUGUGUUACCUCCAGUGUGGACACCAACUUCUCUGUCAUUUAAAACCUCCAUCGCUGCCUUGAUACUCCUCAGGGUGACAGCUAUGCUUCUCUCCAUCUAGUCUUUCUUUUUCCAAAAUGGAGCUAAAAACACACCAGCUGAGAGCUGGGCUCCCCUCCUCUUGCUGCCGUUCAGUUGCUAAGUCAUAUCGACUCUUUGCAGGGACAUAGGGCAGAGGUCCCCGGAUUUCAGAGUCACGGUCAGCAGGAGUGUGAGCAGGGGCUGGGCACCUAGGGGUAAUGUGGGGUCCUCAGCGGGAGACACAGGAGUGGAUGAGCCACCCCGCGAGGGAGACGGUCAGACAGUGAUGGGUCAGGGCGGCCUGGUGCCCCACAGGGGACGCAGGUGAGGGAGGGGGCGGCCUGGAGUGGGGGACCAGGCCCCCCUGACAUCCCCGGGCCCAGAGCUGUGCAGGGUGAAGGCCCGGCCCUGGGGUCUUGGCAGGUGGGAGGGUCCAGUAGGGAAGGAUGGGCCGAGGGUGGCUGGAUUAGAGGAAGG